rnacentral:rRNA from 1 species
ACAACUUUUAACAAUGGAUCUCUUGGCUCUUGCAUCGAUGAAGAACGCAGCGAAAUGCGAUAAGUAAUGUGAAUUGCAGAAUUCAGUGAAUCAUCGAAUCUUUGAACGCACCUUGCGCUCUCUGGUAUUCCGGGGAGCACAUCUGUUCGAGUGU